rnacentral:tRNA from 1 species
GCCGUGGUUCAGUGGCAAAGUGUCUGCCUGUCAUGCAGAAGGUCCCUAGUUCAAUCCCCGGCAUCUCCA